GGCGAGUGGCGAACGGGUGAGUAAUAUAUCGGAACGUACCCAGUAGCGGGGGAUAACUACUCGAAAGAGUAGCUAAUACCGCAUACGCCCUGAGGGGGAAAGGCUUCGGCCGCUCUUGGAUGAUCCCGCGUCUGAUUAGCUUGUUGGUGGGGUAACGGCCUACCAAGGCGACGAUCAGUAGCUGGUCUGAGAGGACGAUCAGCCACACUGGAACUGAGACACGGUCCAGACUCC
rnacentral:rRNA from 1 species